CAGUCGCCACGGUAAUACGAAGGGGGCUAGCGUUGCUCGGAAUGACUGGGCGUAAAGGGCGCGUAGGCGGCGAUCAAGGUCAGGCGUGAAAUUCCUGGGCUCAACCUGGGGGCUGCGCUUGAUACUUGGUUGCUUGAGUGGGGAAGAGGGUCGUGGAAUUCCCAGUGUAGAGGUGAAAUUCGUAGAUAUUGGGAAGAACACCGGUGGCGAAGGCGGCGACCUGGUCCUUGACUGACGCUGAGGCGCGAAAGCGUGGGGAGCAAACAGGAUUAGAUACCCGGGUAGUCCCUGUCUCUUAUAC
rnacentral:rRNA from 1 species